CAAUAGCAUAUAUUAACGUUGUUGCAGUUGAAAAGCUCGUAGUUGAACUUUUGGUAGGAGCGACCUGGCCUUGGGCGCAUGCCCUUGUUUGCCGUGUGUCGUAUCUGGCCAUCCUUUUCCGUUUCGGCGGGAAUCUUUUACUGUGAGUAAACUGGAGUGCUCAAAACAAGACGUUUGUUUGGUACAUUAAAGCAUGGAAUAAUAAGAUAGGACCUGGUUACUAUUUUGUUGGUUUGCAUAGCUAGGUAAUGAUUAACAGGGACAGUUGGGGGUAUUCGUAUUUAAUUGUCAGAGGUGAAAUUCUUGGAUUUAUGAAAGACGAACGACUGCGAAAGCAUUUGCCAAGGAUGUUUUCAUUAA
rnacentral:rRNA from 1 species